rnacentral:lncRNA from 1 species
AGGGGCACAGUAGGCGCCUUAGCCACUGGCAGAAUUUCACCGGCGCUCUGCCCGACGCCCCCAGCCCCAGGGCCGGGCGUGGGUGGAAGUGUCUGGAAGGGUGGGUUCACCAGGGCUGGGCACGUCAGCGGCCCCGUACAGAGAAUCCGGUGCCUGGGGUCUCUGGAGGGGGUACUCAGAGUAUCCGAGGAGGAGACUCCUGGAUGCUAACAGAGCCCCCAGUUAGGAGCAGUCCGCGAGACAGUUGGUAACAGUGCUGGCCUUGCCCGGGCGCCGGAAGGUUCCGUGAGGCCCAGCAAGUCCUGACUUGGCACAGGGCCCAGCACACGGCGCAGUAACAAUAUAAUUACCGUAUGCAGUCCCCCAGGAUACAGGGUCAAAGGAGAGCACAACCAUCGCAGUUGGAAGCCCAUGGGGCAGCCCAGUGCAGAUGCAUCUGACUUACGAAACUUCAGUGACACCUGCUCUGUGCCAGACACUGAAGAUGGAGCAGUGAACAGCACUGACCCAGCCUGUCCUCCUGUUGCCUGCAGGCCAGAAGCAAGGUCUCGCUGUGUUACCCUGGCUGGAGUGCAGUGGCUACUUACAGGCAUGAUCAUAGCAUACUGCAGCCUCGAACUCCUGGACUAGAGCAGUUCUCCUGCCUCAGCCUCCAGAGCAGCUGGGACUGCAGACACGCACCACAGAGCCCAGCCUGAGUCAUUUUGAUUCUGUAACUGGCUUCCUCUCGGCGGGCAGGCUCACACCCUCCACCCCCAGCUGGAGAUGGAAGGAGGAUGCUCACCGCCCAUUCCUCAUGCAGGCCAUCGAUGGAAAUGUCAGACAGUGCGAGUCCACGCCUGAACACUUCUGGGGUCCGCUCUGGGACUGACACUGGCAGAUCCAUCGGUGAGCUCCCGCCUGCCACCUCUGGGCCUGCAUUGCGGUGAUAGGGCCAAGGGCCUGGGCCUUCAAUUCUCCAGACUUGCCAAAAUGCUCAGCGCAGGCCUCGUCGGCAACUGCAGACAAGCAGAGGCAGCACCUGGGCUCUGCCUGUGCCUGGCACAGUGAAGCGAGGGUGGGGGCAGGAAUGAGGGUCCUCUCCAUGCAAGGGGGGAAGAUAGAAGAACAAAAUUUCACCCUAAUGUAGUGUCUUUAGACCGUGCAAUGUUGUGCUCCUGUUAGUCUGAUAUCAGGGGCUUGCAGCCUGGCAAAGGAAAAAAAACAGGCUGAGGCACAUGAUAGAAGACAGGCAGGGAUGCCACAAUCAUAACCAUGGCAAAGACCAGGAUCAGAAAGGCCCACCAUCUCUGACCCCAAAUCCCUGGGCAGAUGGUUCCAGAACUCAGAAUUUUCCCAGUUGUAGAAAGAUGGGGCCAGGUGCAGUGGCUCACGCCUGUAAUCCCAGCAUUUUGGGAGUACAAGGUGGGCGGAUCACCUGAGGUCAGGAGUUCGAGACCAGCCUGGCCAACAUGGUGAAACCCUGUCUCUACUAAAAAAAAAAAAAAAAAUUAGCCGGGCGUGGCGAUGCAUGCCUGUAAUCCCAGCUACUCGGGAGGCUGAGCCAGGAGAAUUGCUUGAACCCGGGAGGCGGAGGUUGCAGUGAGCCAAGAUCGCGCCACUACACUCCAGUCCGGGCGACAGAGCAAGAGUCCAUUCCCCCACCACCAAAAAAAAAAAAAAAAGAAAGAAAGAUGAUGUGAUACAUAUCACAUAUUUCCUAACACCCCCAACCAAACACAUUUAUGCAUAUGCAUAAAGCAGACGAGGAAAGAUUCUAAAUAGGCUCUGAAUCUCAGUUUUCUCAUCUCUACAAUGGGGCAGUGAUGGCAUGCACCUCCCAGGGCUGUUCUGAGAAUCUGAUGCCUCCCAUUGCACUGGUGAGCCUGGCACAGGCACAGGUCCCACCCCAGGCCCUUUGAACUGGCUGUUCCUUUGGCCUGGAACAUUCCUCCCCAGAUACCUCCUGAGAGGGCUCCCUCACUUCCUUCAAGGCACUGCUCAAAUGCUACCUCUUCACAGAGGCUUUCCCUGACCACCCCGUCUCUUUCCUCUUCCUGCAUAGCCUCUGUCACCUGACAUUUUAUGUCAUAAAUUACUCAUUUAUUAAUUUCCUGCUCUCCCACAGUGGCACCCGAGCUCUGUGAGGGCAAGACUUUGUUCGGUUGUGGGCUAUGCCCCCAACCCCUCGGACAGUGCCUGCACAGGUGGACAUUUUUGUUGGAUGAAGGAUUUUCUGUUAAAUGUGUCUGGCACACACAGAAAAACAAAGCCCAGCAGGUACGAUGGUGAUUAUUAUUGUUACUGGUGGCGCUCUAUUAUUGUUAUUAGUGUCUGUUGAAAAAGACCCUGAGCUAUACCAGCCCUUGGUUCUCCAGCCUGUGAAAUGGGCAUCCUGGGCACUGAGGCACUAGCCUUGGGAAGCUGAUAGGGGGUCCCUGCAGGAGAGACAAAGAACACUGCCCACCCCCCCGGGGGAGCCUGCGCCCCUCACCGGAAAGAGAAGCAGGGGGGAGCAGAGGGAGCUUGCAGCCCCACACGCAGGGCUGCCAGAAGGCCAUACAUAAUUCAUUGCCAAAUGGGGCUGCGGGCGGCUCUCCGCGGCGUGCGCUGGGGGCUCACUCUGCGCCUGGCACUUCGCUGACUGCGCCUCACACGUUGCCUCAUUGCAUCUUCAUGGAUUUGCAGGGUGUGACCCUUCCCCCUGUUUUACCCAGGGGGAUCCUGAGGCUCAGAGGAUGGGGCCACCGUGCUAGUCACACAGCCUCUCUGUGGCCAAGCUGGGCCUCGGGCCAGCAGAUUCGGCCCCCAGCGGCCCCCAUUCACUGCCUCUCUGCUGAGGGAAAAGACGGGCCUGGGGAGCGGGUGGGAGGCACAAAGGAGACCCCGCUCUGAGACAGGCUGCAGAAGAGGGAGCUGGGUCUCAGCAGGGCUGGGGAAGGCUCUGGCCCCAGCCCUCCGCCCAACCCCCUGCCCUCCUCUCCUGGAGGAGAUGCUCCCCAAAUUAGCCAUCAUGAGCGCUGGCUCUGGGGGUUGGGCGUUGGGGAGCAGUUUGCUCAGCUGUAAAAUGGGAAUAACAGAAGCCGUCCCUGGGACUAUGAGAUCAAGGUGCUCAAGAAAAGUGGUGUCUGCUGAGGGGAAAAGCCAGUCCCAAAAGGUUGCAUACUCUCAUUCUGUUUAUUUGUUUUUGUUUUUGAGACAGGGUCUCGCCCUGUCACCCAGGCUGGAGUACAGUGGCGCAAUAUGGGCUCACUGCAACCUCCACCUCCUGGGCUCAAGUGAUCCUCCCAUCUCAGACCCUCAAGGAGCUGGGGCUACAGGCACGUGCCACCGUGUCCGGCUAAUUUUUGUAUUUUUUGUAGAGACAGGGUUUCACCAUGUUGCCCAGGCUGGUCUCAAACUCCUGAGCUCAGGUGAUCCGCCUGCCUUGGCCUGCGAUAAAAUUGCACAGAAGUAAAUACACACACGUGAGGAUACGGAAAACCGGGGAAACCUGAGCAAGAGCAGUCAGACCCCGGCUGUGAUGGCGCCCAGUAGUUCUGCGAGAUGUUACCAUUGGGGAAACUGAGUGAAGGCGGGUACCUGGGAUCCCUCUGUUUUCUUUUUUGUUGUUGUUGUUAUUUUGAGAUGAAGUUUCCCUCUUGUUGCCCAGGCUGGGUGAUCCACCUGCCUCGGCCUCCCAAAGUGCUGGGAUUACACGCGUGAGCCACUGUGCCCAGCCUCUCUGUUUUAUUUCUUCUUUUUUUUUUUUUUUUUUUGGAGACGCUCUGUCGCCCAGGCUGGAGUGCAGUGGCACGAUAUUGGCUCACUGCAAGCUCCGCCUCCUGGGUUCACACCAUUCUCCUGCCUCAGCCUCCCGAGUAGCUGGGACUACAGGCGCCCGCCACCUCGCCCGUCUAAUUUUUUGUAUUUUUAGUAGAGGCGGGGCUUCACCGUGUUAGCCAGGAUGGUCUCAAUCUCCUGACCUCGUCAUCCGCCCGUCUCGGCCUCCCAUAGUGCUGGGAUUACAGGCAUGAGCCACCACGCCCGGCUGUUUUAUUUCUUAUAACUGUACAGGAAUCUACAAUGAUUGUAACAAAAAUUUCAAUUAAGGCCACUCUAGGCACAUGGCCUGUGGGGUAGCCCUGCUCAACAAGAAGCCGUCAAAAAAAUGUUUUUUAAUUAAAAAAUUUCUUCAAUUAAAAAGCGUUAUCUUCCUCUGCCCGGAAAGGGUUAAGUGAGUCACUGCAGUUAGCUCCCCUUCCCCCACAACCACCUAGACCAGGCCAGGGACCAGCGGGCAAUUGCCUGGCAGCUGGAGUUUUCCUCCACUGUGGACUGUACUUCUUGCGUCACUCUGAAUGUCUCCAGUCUUUAUUCCAGAAUGUUCUGGUCCUCUCCCACUUUUCCAAGGACAGGAAUUCCCUAGUGGGGCUCCAGAAGAGGCUCUGGAGGAGAACAAGAAAGGCCCUUGUCAUCCAUUGGCCUCAGGCUGGGAAAUCUCGGUUCCACUCCCAGCCCAGCCUCAAUAUUAGGUUGUCAGUCUGGAGUCUGAGAGCCAUGCCCCCACCCCCUUAGUCCUUCACCUCCAGGAGAGUUGGGGAUACUGGAAAGAAUGUUGAGUGUCAGAGCCCCUCUCAGUGGCUCACGCCUGAAAUCCCAGCCCUUUGGGAGGCUGAGGCAGGUGGAUUGCUUGAGGCCAAGAGUUCAAGACCAGCCUGGCCAACGCGACGAAACCCUGACUCUACUAAAAAUACAAAAAUUAGCUGGGCGUGGUGGCACACACCUGUAAUCCCAGCAGCUCGGGAGGCUGAGGCAGGAGAAUUGUUUGAACCUGAGAGGUGGAGGUUGCAGUGAGCUGAGAUCACAACACUGCACUCAAAAAGUAGUUAAUUAAUUUAGUUUAAUUAAAAAAGAAUAUUGAGUGUCAGGCAAUCUGGGUAGAACCCAUUGUGUUUCUACAGGAUAGAAUCUGCUGUGUUCUCUAGCGGAACUUCCGGAUCACCUUCACCGUAUGACUCUAGACAAUCCCUGUCCACUCUUCAGUUUUAGAUGCCCCAUUCAAAGAAUGAAAGAAUUGUCCUAGAUGAUCCUUUAGGGUCUUCCAGGCUGAUGACAAGGGGGACCUGGCCCCUCUGCUGCUGGCCAAAGAGGACUUUACUUCCCAUUCCGUGUGGUUGAACAAGAAUUGCUGGGCUCCAGUCCUGCCUUUGGCCCUUCCCUACAUGUGACCUUGGGCCCUCUUUGCCUUUCAGAAUCAAUACAGUGAGAGAGUUAACACAAGCUCAGGUUAGUAAGUCAUUCAACAAACAUUUACUGAGCGCUUAUCAAAUACUGCAUGCUGGAGUGGACACUGGAGAAAAAGGUGAGGAGAAGGCCGGGCGCAGUGGCUCGUGACUGUAAUUCCAGCACUUUGAGGGGCAGAGGCAGGUGGAUUACCUGAGGUCAGGAGUUUGAGACCAGCCUGGCCAACAUGGCAAAACCCCGUCUCUACUAAAAAUACAAAUAUUAGCCAGGCAUGGUGGUGCAUAUCUGUAGUCCCAGCUACUCAGGAGGCUGAGCAGGAGAAUCACUUGAACUCAGGAGGUGGAGCGUGCAGUGGGCCGAGAUUGCACCUCUGCACUCCAGCCUGGGCAACAUAGUGAGACUCUGUCUCAAAUAAAUAAAUAAAGUGAGGAGAAAAAAAUACCAUCUCUGUCUUCACAGAACUUAUAGUUUGAGAGGGGAGAAUCCCACAAGUAAAUUAUAAAUCUCAGCUGAGAUUAUGCAAAGAAGCAAAGGCCGGACGUGGUGGCUCACGCCUGUAAUCCCAGCACUUUGGGAGGCCGAGACGGGCGGAUCAUGAGGUCAGGAGAUUGAGACCAUCCUGGCUAACACGGUGAAACCCUGUCUCUACUAAAAAUACAAAAAAAUUAGCUGGGCGUGGUGGCGGGCGUCUGUAGUUCCAGCUACUCGGGAGGCUGAGGCAGGAGGAUGGCGUGAACCCAGGAGCACAGGUUGCAGUGAGCCGAGAUGGCGCCACUGCACUCCAGCCUGGGCGACAGAGCGAGACUCUGUCUCAAAAAAAAAAAAAAAAAAGGAAGCAAAGUGCCCAGCUGGGAUGGUGGUUUCAGAGGCCACAGUGGGAGCUUCCCAGAGAAGGGAUGAUUGAGCUAAGUCUAAGCAAAAGGGGUGGUCAGGGCAGCAGCUGCUCCAAAACAGGGGCUGGGGGCUUAUGUGGAGAGAGAAGACAUGGAGAGACCAUGCCCAGAAGGAGGCGGCGGCUUCAGUGAACAGUGCAGGGGAGCAGGUCCGAGGAGGCCGCCUACCAGGGGAAGGAGUCUCAUCUCCAUCCUAGACAAAAAAAGGAUCUUUUGAGAUGCAUUAAGCAGGGGAGUCACAGAUUGGAUUUGUGUUUUGAGAAUCUCCUGCUUACCUAGAGAAGAAGGGCAUCUCCUGGGCCCUCACUGUUGCCUUAAAUGAUUUUUAUUGUGUAUUACUUAAACAUGUGCAAGCAUAAAAUGAGAUAUAAACUCCUUGUAGCUCUUAUACAAGCAUCAGACCAAGACAAAUUGACCCAUCACGUACAAAAUCGAUUCAAAUCAGAUUAAUUUUAUGUGACAUGUUAUUAUGCCUUUUGUCUGAAACCCUGCCACCACCCACAGUGCAAUUAUGGCCCAACCACUGUGGUGUUCUGAAUUUGUGGGACAGAGAAUAUUGGCCUUUUAAACACGUGCAUGCAUGCAUUUGCGUGUGCGCACACACACACAUCCCAAAUGAUUUUUUCCCACUAUAUAUGAAGAACUCCUACAAACCAAAAAGAAAAAGGCAGACAAUUCAAGAGAAAAAUGGGGGAGGGCUUGCAUUAAAGUACUUCAUAACAAGAGUACUUAGGAGGCCAACAAAUACACGAAAAGCUGCUAGCUUCAUGACUCAUGGGGGUGGCUUGGUCAGUUCAGGAUACUGUAACAAAAUACCUUAGACUGGGAAAUUUAUAAACAACGGAAUUUAUUGCUCACAGUUCUGGAGGCUGGGAAGUCCAAGAUCAAGGCAGCAGUAGAUCCGGUGCCUGAGCCCGUUCCCUGCUUCAAACAUGGCACCUUCUUGCUGUAUCCUCACAUGGUGGAAGGGGGAAGACAGUUCUCUGGGGCCUCUUUUAUAAGGGCAGUUAUCCAAUUCACAAGGAUAGAGCCCUCAUGACCUAAUCACCUUUCAAAGAUCCCCAUCUUCUAACACCUUCUAACACCAUCACCUUGGUGAUUAGGUCUUUUUGUUGUUGUUGUUGUUGAGAUGGACUCUCACUCUGUUGCCUAGGCUGGAGUGCAGUGGCGUAAUCUUGGUUCACUGCAACCUCUGCCUCCCGGGCUGAAGUGAUUAUCCUGUUUCGUCCUCCCAAAAUGCUGGGAUUACAGGCAUGAGCCACUGCACCCAGCCGAUUAAGUCUUAACGUAUGAGUUUUUGGGAGAAACUCAAACAUUCGGACAAUAGCAAGGAGAAUACAAAACCACAGUGAGCUACCGCUUCAGACACCAGAGAAGUUUAAGUGAAAAAGACUGGCAAUACCAAGUGCUGAUGAGGAUAUGGAGCAACCAGAACUCUCAGACAUUGCUGAUGGGAAUCUAAAUUAGUAUAACCACCACGAAAGCAUCCGUAAGGUUUAAUUGUGUUGAACACACCCUGCCCUCUGACCAAGCAUUUCCACUCCUGGGCAUACAGGCAAAAGAAAUGCAUCCACGUGUUCAUCAAAAGAUGUAACCUGUGCCAGGUGAGGUGGUUCAUGCCUGUAAUCCCAGCACAUCGGGAGGCCAAGGAGGGAGGAUUGCUUGAGCCCAGAAGUUCGAGAGCAGCCUAGGCAACAAGGCAAAACCUCGUCUCUACUAAAAAGUAGCCAGGCAUGAUGGUAUAUGCCUGUAGUCCCAGCUACUCAGGAGGCCAAGGCAUGCAGAUUGAUUGAACCCGGAAGGUGGAGGCUACAGUGAAUUGUGAUCUCGCCACUGCACUCCAGCCUGGGUGACAGAGCAAGAUCUUGUCUCAAUUAAAAAAAAAGGAAGAAAGAAAGACAUAACCUGGAAUAUUCACACCAACACUAUUCAGGAUAGCCCUAAACUGGAAAGAAUCUGAAUAUCCUCCGGCUUUAGAACAGAGAGAAAUUAUAGACUAUUCAUUCAUACAGGGGAUGAUUGAUCAGCUUUAAGAAUAAACAAACCGUACACAACAAUAUAGAUGAAUCUACAACCUUAAUGUGCAAAAUAGUUCACAUAUAUAAAGGACAAAAACAGGCAAAACUACUCCAUGGUGUUAGAAAUAGGGGUAGAGGUUACCCUCAUGCGGCAGGAGGGUUAGUGAUAGGGGAUUUGGAAGAGGAGGAGCCCAAUGGACUGAACAGCUGAGCUGGAAACAGCAAUUUGUUCCUUAAAGUUCUGAACCCAACUGUUAUCCAGCAUGGAGUCUGUCUGGAGAGGCCAGAUGUGGGGCCUCUCACAGGGGAAUGAGAAGUGCCUCUCAGGGUCCCACCCAUGAUCCCCCUUUCCUUGCCCACACAACCACCAACUGGCAAGUAGUAACCCAGGACCUGUAGCCCCCACUGGCUUGACACAGAGCAUAAUGCAAGCUUUUCCUGCUCCAGGUCCUGGACACCACUUUGCCCUUUGCCCCACACGUACAGCCCCCUGACCAAAAGCUGGGUACUCUGGCUUGACUAGAGGGAGCUAGACUCCAGGAAUAAGUAAGGAGCUGGGCUUCCACGCUAGAGAACAAGAGCUUCUCUGGGGAAAGGGGCUUCCCAUGAAGCCCUGGGGCACUGGGAGAUUAAUGGGCAGACCUCUGGCCUCAGCUUCCAGGGAAGGGGAGGGUGUGGGCCAACAUGCGGUGGCUACACUGACCACAAGCCGAUGACCCCAGCCAGCCUCAGGAUGUCUCAGCUCUAGGCAUGGUUUUUCGUUUUGUUUUGUCGUGUUUUGUUUUUGAGAUGGAACCUCGCUCUGUCGCCUAGGCUGGAGUGAAGUGGCACCAUCUCGUCUCCCUGCAACCUCCACCUCCUGGGUUCAAGCGAUUCUCCUGCCUCAGCCUCCUGAGUAGCUGAGAUUACAUGUGCGUGCCACCUUGCCCAGCUAAUUUUUGUAUUUUUAGUAGAGAUAGGGUUUCAUCAUGUUAGCUAGGCUGGUCUCAAACUCCUGACCUCAAGUGAUCUGCCUGCCUCAGCCUCCCAAAGUGCAAGGAUUACAGGCAUGAGCCACCAUGCCCGGCAUAGGCAUGGUUUUGACAAUCUGUCUCUUUGUGCCCUGGCUCCUUCUCCAACUCCUCUUUGGAGGAGGCACAGGAGGAGGGGUCAUUUCACUGUUCCUGAAAAGUAGACAUAUAACCUACAUGCAACUGCCAGGUGAUAAGGGCCCCAUCUGUCUGGCAUGACGUUGGAGGUCCACAAAGGCUGAUUAGAUGAAUGCUCAGCUCUGGGGCCUCCCCACAGAGCUCACAGACAGGCGUGAAGGAAAGCAGGACUCUUAUUAGAAUAUGUUCAGAGUUUUCACUGAAGAAGCCUCCUGUGUGGGCCAGGCACUGUGCUCAGUGCUUUGAUUCACAGUCUCAUUUAAUUCUCACCAUUUACAGACAAGAAUUCAGCUAAGAUCCUUUUCAAUCAAGUCUGGCAAUAUCUGCCUUUCAAUGGCAGUGCCUAGUCCUUUCAUAUGUAAUAUACUUAUCAUUAUGGGUGGGUUUAAGUUUUAUCAUCUUGCUAUUUGUUAUCUAUUUGUCCCCCCUCUUUUGUUCCUCCUUUACUGCCUUCUAUUUGGUUGAGACUUAAUAAAAUAUUUUAUUCCAUCUUCUCUACUUACUUUUUAGCUAUGCCUCCUUAUAUUUUUGGUUGCUGGAGUGUUACAAUAUGCAUUCUUCAAUAUCCAGUCUACUUUCCAAUAAUAUUACACCACUUCAUGUAUAACGUAAGAACGUUACAAAAAUAUAAUGCCAGGGCUGGGCGCAGUGGCUCACGCCUGUAAUCCCAGCACUUUGGGAGGUCGAGGCGGGCAGCUCACCUGAGGUCAGGAGUUCGAGACCAGCCUGACCAACAUGGAGGAACCCCAUCUCUACUAAAAAUACAAAAUUAGCCGGGCAUGGUGGCUCAUGCCUGUAAUCCCAGCUACUCAGGAGGCUGAGGCAGGAGAGUUGCUUGAACCGGGGAGGUGGAAGUUGCAAUGAGCCAAGAUUGCGCCGUUGCAC